rnacentral:lncRNA from 1 species
AAACUCUCAAGUAUGAUGAGAUAUAAAGAAAGCCACGCAGCCGGCUACAUCAUUCGCAUUUCAAUAAACAUAACGGCCCGAAACAAUCCACACCCUCUCGCUUCUGCUCUUGUCCUGACUUUACAUGCGUGUUUCCUUACUUAAACUCGCUGUCGUAAGACAUCAGUGUAGCCAAAGCACGAAUAUAUCAAUCCAAGCCCAAUCCUAUCCCAUUUUUUGGGCCCCAUCUUGCACCUUUCAUACGUAAAGACAAACAGAUCAUUUAACGUUUGGGAUUAAGUGACUUGGAAUUAACUCAGACUCUUAAUUAUUUAAUAAAACAAUCAAUAGUACCCUAAAAAUUAGGCAAUUAGGUGCUGAUUUGCCUGAUUCUGAUGUAGUUAUAACCUAAACAAAUAAAAUUUGCAGGAGAUAGAUCAGCCGUAAGCUACAUACAAAAAAUUCUUU